UACGGGGGGGGCAAGCGUUGUUCGGAAUUACUGGGCGUAAAGGGCGCGUAGGCGGUCAGACCAAGUCGAGUGUGAAAUUCCAGGGCUUAACUCUGGCGCGCUCGCUCGAUACUGGUCGGCUAGAGUGUGGAAGAGGAUGCUGGAAUUCCCGGUGUAGCGGUGAAAUUCGUAGAUAUCGGGAGGAACACCAGUGGCGAAGGCGGCUCUCUGGACAGGUACUGACACUGAGACGCGAAAGCGUGGGUAGCAAACAGG
rnacentral:rRNA from 1 species